CACAGGUUUACAGCUCAGCCUCUGUCCCAUAUAUGGUUGAGGAGACUGUGGAUAAUCCAGAAGAUCACCAGUGGAAAAAAAGGUGUGAAUGCAUCCUCAAAGCCCUUGUGAGGGAGUACACGGAUGCUGGACAUGAUGAAGCACAAACCUUGAUGUGCAACACCACCUUAUGAAUCUACAGUAGUUACAUUAACAUUUAGCAGACUUUUUUGUCUAAAGUGACUUACAAUUGAGGAGACAUUCAGCAAAUCAACAAGAAGAGGCAUUACACCCAAGAUGUGCUGAUUAUACAAA